UAGCGCAGCUUAACAUGCAAGUCGAACGGUAACAGGGAGCUUGCUCCGCUGACGAGUGGCGAACGGGUGAGUAAUGUAUCGGAACGUACCUUUCAGUGGGGGAUAACGUAGCGAAAGUUACGCUAAUACCGCAUAUUCUGUGAGCAGGAAAGCAGGGGACCUUCGGGCCUUGCGCUGAUUGAGCGGCUGAUAUCAGAUUAGCUAGUUGGUGAGGUAAAGGCUCACCAAGGCGACGAUCUGUAGCGGGUCUGAGAGGAUGAUCCGCCACACUGGAACUGAGACACGGUCCAGACUCCUACGGGAGGCAGCAGUGGGGAAUUUUGGACAAUGGGGGCAACCCUGAUCCAGCCAUGCCGCGUGAGUGAAGAAGGCCUUCGGGUUGUAAAGCUCUUUCGGCCGGGAAAAAAUCGCAUGGGCUAAUACCCUGUGUGGAUGAUGGUACCGGAAUAAGAAGCACCGGCUAACUACGUGCCAGCAGCCGCGGUAAUACGUAGGGUGCGAGCGUUAAUCGGAAUUACUGGGCGUAAAGCGUGCGCAGGCGGUUUUUUAAGACAGGCGUGAAAUCCCCGGGCUCAACCUGGGAACUGCGCUUGUGACUGGAAGGCUAGAGUACGGCAGAGGGGGGUGGAAUUCCACGUGUAGCAGUGAAAUGCGUAGAGAUGUGGAGGAACACCAAUGGCGAAGGCAGCCCCCUGGGUCGAUACUGACGCUCAUGCACGAAAGGCGUGGGGGAGCCAAACAGGAUUAGAUACCCUGGUAGUCCACGCCCUAAACGAUGUCGUAGCUGUUGGGG
rnacentral:rRNA from 1 species